rnacentral:rRNA from 1 species
UCGAACGGCAGCACGGGGGCAACCCUGGUGGCGAGUGGCGAACGGGUGAGUAAUGCAUCGGAACGUGCCCAGUAGUGGGGGAUAACCCGGCGAAAGCCGGGCUAAUACCGCAUACGACCUAAGGGUGAAAGCGGGGGACCGUAAGGCCUCGCGCUAUUGGAGCGGCCGAUGUCUGAUUAGCUAGUUGGCGGGGUAAGAGCCCACCAAGGCGACGAUCAGUAGCUGGUCUGAGAGGACGACCAGCCACACUGGGACUGAGACACGGCCCAGACUCCUACGGGAGGCAGCAGUGGGGAAUUUUGGACAAUGGGCGCAAGCCUGAUCCAGCCAUGCCGCGUGCGGGAAGAAGGCCUUCGGGUUGUAAACCGCUUUUGGCAGGAACGAAACGGCGCGAGCAAAUAUCUCGCGCUAAUGACGGUACCUGCAGAAUAAGCACCGGCUAACUACGUGCCAGCAGCCGCGGUAAUACGUAGGGUGCAAGCGUUA